rnacentral:rRNA from 1 species
GGCCGCGGGAAUUCGAUUCAGGCCUAACACAUGCAAGUCGAGCGGAGAGAGGUAGCUUGCUACCGAUCUUAGCGGCGGACGGGUGAGUAAUGCUUAGGAAUCUGCCUAUUAGUGGGGGACAACAUUUCGAAAGGAAUGCUAAUACCGCAUACGUCCUACGGGAGAAAGCAGGGGAUCUUCGGACCUUGCGCUAAUAGAUGAGCCUAAGUCGGAUUAGCUAGUUGGUGGGGUAAAGGCCUACCAAGGCGACGAUCUGUAGCGGGUCUGAGAGGAUGAUCCGCCACACUGGGACUGAGACACGGCCCAGACUCCUACGGGAGGCAGCAGUGGGGAAUAUUGGACAAUGGGCGCAAGCCUGAUCCAGCCAUGCCGCGUGUGUGAAGAAGGCCUUAUGGUUGUAAAGCACAUUGAGCGAGGAGGAGGCUACUUUAGUUAAUACCUAGAGAUAGUGGACGUACUCGCAGA